CACGAAGUUAGCCGGUGCUUGCUAAGGAGGUACCGUCAUGCUGCUGGCUAUGAACCAGCAGCGGUUCGUCCCUCCCCACAGAGCUUUACGACCCGAAGGCCUUCAUCACUCACGCGGCGUGGCUGGAUCAGGCUUGCGCCCAUUGUCCAAUAUUCCUUA
rnacentral:rRNA from 1 species